rnacentral:lncRNA from 1 species
AUCCAGCUGCCAGACAACUUGUACUGAUCUUUCUUUGCUUUGCCUACUAAUCACACACACCCUCUCUUCUAGCCUGUGAAGACUUAACUGAUUUUCUACGGAUGAAGGUUUCAGUGUCCCAAGGCCCCAUACCGUAUCUGAUUUUACUUUAUUUUUGUUUGUUAAGCCUAACAGCUUCUGAGGAGCCACGUAGAGCUCAAGAAGCAAAAGCUACUGAGAGUAGAUGCUAUGUAAACUGCACAAGACGUUGACCUUUGUUAAAUCCGAACACUGUUUAAGAUAAUGCUAUCUCUUACCCACGAGGCUGUAGCUUGGAAUAUUCAGUGCUCUGAACCAAAUUAAAUAAAUUAGUGCUUUAUCCGGGAGGGGAGGAGAAAUCUAUGUUGUAACAUUGAAACACAUUGAUUUGAUUUCUCUCCAGGAUGUUAUAACGCAUUAAAAGAUAUUUUAAAUAUUUUUCACGA